GUGUCGAUGAAGAACGCAGCCAGCUGCGUGAAUUAAUGUGAAUUGCAGGACACAUUGAACAUCGAUAUCUUGAACGCACAUUGCGGCCCUGGGUCACUCCCGGAGCCACGCCUGUCUGAGGGUCGGC
rnacentral:rRNA from 1 species